rnacentral:rRNA from 1 species
CCUAUCUGCCGUGGGCGCUGGAGAACUGAGGGGGGCUGCUCCUAGUACGAGAGGACCGGAGUGGACGCAUCACUGGUGUUCGGGUUGUCAUGCCAAUGGCACUGCCCGGUAGCUAAAUGCGGAAGAGAUAAGUGCUGAAAGCAUCUAAGCACGAAACUUGCCCCGAGAUGAGUUCUCCCUGACCCUUUAAGGGUCCUGAAGGAACGUUGAAGACGACGACGUUGAUAGGCCGGGUGUGUAAGCGCAGCGAUGCGUUGAGCUAACCGGUACUAAUGAACCGUGAGGCUUAACCUUACAACGCCGAAGGUGUUU